AAUUGGAGGGCAAGUCUGGUGCCAGCAGCCGCGGUAAUUCCAGCUCCAAUAGCGUAUAUUAAAAUUGUUGCAGUUAAAAAGCUCGUAGUUGAAUUUCUGCUGCAUUGCUUGUGUCCCUCUGGGGUCUGUGCAUGUGGCUUUUUUCGGACGGAGUUUCUUUGUCUGAAUGUUUACUUUGAGAAAAUUAGAGUGCUCAAAGCAGGCUUUCGCCUUGAAUAGUUUAGCAUGGAAUAAUAAAGUAGGACUUUGGUUCUAUUUUGUUGGUUUUAGGUACCAAAGUAAUGGUUAAUAGGAACAGUUGGGGGCAUUCGUAUUUAACUGUCAGAGGUGAAAUUCUUAG
rnacentral:rRNA from 1 species